rnacentral:other from 1 species
ACUUUACUGGAAAGUUCGUGAUAGGACAAAACACAUAUUGAGCCAACAUAUGAAUAUAGGGAGGCUAACGCUGUUUUCGGUGCAAUCUUUCUAGGUUAAAGAAUGCCAUAGAUUAUAGUUUCGUCCCAUAAAACGGACAGAAAGCCACCCACCUGUUAAAAUCAGGUUCAAUUCAUUUGCUCUUACACGGCUUUUCGGUUCUCUU